ACGAACGCUGGCGGCGUGCUUAACCCAUGCCAGUCGAACGGGUCUGCCCUGUUUUUUGCGGGGUGGGUCAGUGGCGAACGGGUGAGUAACACGUGAGUAACCUGCCCCUCACUUCUGGAUAACCGCUUGAAAGGGUGGCUAAUACGGGGUGUUCUGGCUGUGCCGCAUGGUGUGGCUGGGAAAGAUUCACUUUUGUGGUGUUUUGGUGGGGGAUGGGCUCGCGGCCUAUCAGCUUGUUGGUGGGGUGAUGGCCUGCCAAGGCUUUGACGGGUAGCCGGCCUGAGAGGGUGGGCGGUCACACUGGGACUGAGAUACGGCCCAGACUCCUGCGGGAGGCAGCAGUGGGGGGUAUUGCACAAUGGGCGGAAGCCUGAUGCAGCGACGUCGCGUGAGGGAUGGAGGCCUUCGGGUUGUGAACCUCUUUCGCCGGUGAAGAAGGUCCUGCUCUUUGUGGUGGGGUUGACGGUAGCCGGGUUAUGAAGCGCCGGCUAACUACGUG
rnacentral:rRNA from 1 species